GACAGAGGCCCCGAGCGUUAGGCGGAAUCACUGGGCUUAAAGCGCGUGUAGGCGGAGGGCUAAGUACCUUGUGAAAUCCCCGGGCUCAACCCGGGAACUGCUUGGUAUACUGGUCCUCUUGAGGCAUCUAGGGGCGAGCGGAACAAACGGUGGAGCGGUGAAAUGCGUAGAUAUCGUUUGGAACGCCAACGGAGAAAUCAGCUCGCUGGGGAUGUCCUGACGCUGAGACGCGAAAGCCAGGGGAGCAAACGGG
rnacentral:rRNA from 1 species